rnacentral:rRNA from 1 species
GACGAACGCUGGCGGCGUGCUUAACACAUGCAAGUCGAACGGAAAGGCCCUGCUUGCAGGGUACUCGCGUGGCGAACGGGUGAGUAACACGUGGGUGAUCUGCCCUGCACUUCGGGAUAAGCCUGGGACACUGGGUCUAAUACCGGAUAGGAGCCAUUUUUAGUGUGAUGGUUGGAAAGUUUUUUCGGUGUAGGAUGAGCUCGCGGCCUAUCAGCUUGUUGGUGGGGUAAUGGCCUACCAAGGCGGCGACGGGUAGCCGGCCUGAGAGGGUGGACGGCCACAUUGGGACGGAGAUACGGCCCAGACUCCUACGGGAGGCAGCAGUGGGGAAUAGUGCACAAUGGGCGCAAGCCUGAUGCAGCGACGCCGCGUGGGGGAUGACGGCCUUCGGGUUGUAAACUCCUUUCGCUAGGGACGAAGCUUUUUGUGACGGUACCUAGAUAAGAAGCACCGGCUAACUACGUG